UAGCUAGUUGGUAGGGUAAAGGCCUACCAAGGCGACGAUCGGUAGCUGGUCUGAGAGGAUGGCCAGCCACACUGGAACUGAGACACGGUCCAGACUCCUACGGGAGGCAGCAGUGGGGAAUAUUGGACAAUGGGGGCAACCCUGAUCCAGCAAUGCCGCGUGUGUGAAGAAGGCCUGAGGGUUGUAAAGCACUUUCAGUGGGGAGGAGGUUACUUAGGUUAAGAGCUAGAGUAAUGGACGUUACCCACAGAAGAAGCACCGGCUAACUCCGUGCCAGCAGCCGCGGUAAUACGGAGGGUGCGAGCGUUAAUCGGAAUUACUGGGCGUAAAGAGUGCGUAGGUGGUUAAUUAAGUUAUCUGUGAAAUCCCUGGGCUCAACCUGGGCAGGUCAGAUAAUACUGGUUAACUCGAGUAUGGGAGAGGGUAGUGGAAUUUCCGGUGUAGCGGUGAAAUGCGUAGAGAUCGGAAGGAACACCAGUGGCGAAGGCGGCUACCUGGCCUAAUACUGACACUGAGGCACGAAAGCGUGGGGAGCAAACAGGAUUAGAUACCCUGGUAGUCCACGCCGUAAACGAUGUCAACUAGCUGUUGGUUAUAUGAAUAUAAUUAGUGGCGA
rnacentral:rRNA from 1 species